rnacentral:rRNA from 1 species
GAUGAACGCUAGCGGUAGGCUUAACACAUGCAAGUCGAGGGGUAGAGGUUGCUUGCAACCUUGAGACCGGCGCACGGGUGCGUAACGCGUAUGCAACCUACCUUUUACAGAGGGAUAGCCCAGAGAAAUUUGGAUUAAUACCUCAUAGUAUAUAACCUUCGCAUGUUGGUUAUAUUAAAGUUCCAACGGUAAAAGAUGGGCAUGCGUCCUAUUAGCUAGAUGGUAAGGUAACGGCUUACCAUGGCAACGAUAGGUAGGGGUCCUGAGAGGGAGAUCCCCCACACUGGUACUGAGACACGGACCAGACGCCUACGGGAGGCAGUAGUGAGGAAUAUUGGACAAUGGGCGCAAGCCUGAUCCAGCCAUGCCGCGUGCAGGAAGAAGCAUCUAUGGUGUGUAAACUGCUUUUGUACAGGAAGAAACACCCCGACGUGUCGGGACUUGACGGUACUGUAAGAAUAAGGAUCGGCUAACUCCGUGCCAGCCGCCGCCGUAAUAC